UCCCUGUGUUCUCCUCCUCUCUCCCUCGGCUCCUGAGCCCAGCCAACUACGCGCACCUGCACCUCAUCAGCCACCUCGUCAGCCUUCCACACCUGCCAGUAAUCAACCUCAUCCCUGCCUGUAUUUUAACCCCGGUUCGCCACACUAUCCUCACUUGAUCGUCGUUGCUCCAUACCCGGUUCACUCACCCUCGUCAUCCGUUCUGUCGGCUGGGCUCAUCCUCCGGUCCUCUCCUCUCGGGCUUCCUCCACGGCGCCCUCCCGGCUCCUCCCCGCUCCUCGCCUCACCACCUGCGCCUCGCCUGCUCCUCGGUCCUCCGUGCCCGCGUCCCUCGGCGUCCACC